rnacentral:rRNA from 1 species
CCCUUUGGGGUGUGACUGCGUACCUUUUGUAUAAUGGGUCAGCGACUUAUAUUCUGUAGCAAGGUUAACCGUAUAGGGGAGCCGGAGGGAAACCGAGUCUUAACCGGGCGUUAAGUUGCAGGGUAUAGACCCGAAACCCGGUGAUCUAGCCAUGGGCAGGUUGAAGGUUGGGUAACACUAACUGGAGGACCGAACCGACUAAUGUUGAAAAAUUAGCGGAUGACCUGUGGCUGGGGGUGAAAGGCCAAUCAAACCGGGAGAUAGCUGGUUCUCCCCGAAAGCUAUUUAGGUAGCGCCUCGUGAAUUCAUCUCCGGGGGUAGAGCACUGUUUCGGCUAGGGGGCCAUCCCGGCUUACCAACCCGAUGCAAACUGCGAAUACCGGAGAAUGUUAUCACGGGAGACACACGGCGGGUGCUAACGUCCGUCGUGAAGAGGGAAACAACCCAGACCGCCAGCUAAGGUCCCAAAGUCAUGGUUAAGUGGGAAACGAUGUGGGAAGGCCCAGACAGCCAGGAUGUUGGCUUAGAAGCAGCCAUCAUUUAAAGAAAGCGUAAUAGCUCACUGGUCGAGUCGGCCUGCGCGGAAGAUGUAACGGGGCUAAACCAUGCACCGAAGCUGCGGCAGCGACACUCAGGUGUUGUUGGGUAGGGGAGCGUUCUGUAAGCCUGCGAAGGUGGCCUGUGAGGGUUGCUGGAGGUAUCAGAAGUGCGAAUGCUGACAUAAGUAACGAUAAAGCGGGUGAAAAGCCCGCUCGCCGGAAGACCAAGGGUUCCUGUCCAACGUUAAUCGGGGCAGGGUGAGUCGACCCCUAAGGCGAGGCCGAAAGGCGUAGUCGAUGGGAAACGGGUUAAUAUUCCCGUACUUGGUGUUACUGCGAAGGGGGGACGGAGAAGGCUAUGUUGGCCGGGCGACGGUUGUCCCGGUUUAAGCGUGUAGGUGUGUGUUCCAGGUAAAUCCGGUUCACUUUAACACUGAGGCGUGACGACGAGGCACUACGGUGCUGAAGCAACAAAUGCCCUGCUUCCAGGAAAAGCCUCUAAGCAUCAGGUAACAUCAAAUCGUACCCCAAACCGACACAGGUGGUCAGGUAGAGAAUACCAAGGCGCUUGAGAGAACUCGGGUGAAGGAACUAGGCAAAAUGGUGCCGUAACUUCGGGAGAAGGCACGCUGACAUGUAGGUGAAGUGAUUUACUCAUGGAGCUGAAGUCAGUCGAAGAUACCAGCUGGCUGCAACUGUUUAUUAAAAACACAGCACUGUGCAAACACGAAAGUGGACGUAUACGGUGUGACGCCUGCCCGGUGCCGGAAGGUUAAUUGAUGGGGUCAGCGCAAGCGAAGCUCCUGAUCGAAGCCCCGGUAAACGGCGGCCGUAACUAUAACGGUCCUAAGGUAGCGAAAUUCCUUGUCGGGUAAGUUCCGACCUGCACGAAUGGCGUAAUGAUGGCCAGGCUGUCUCCACCCGAGACUCAGUGAAAUUGAACUCGCUGUGAAGAUGCAGUGUACCCGCGGCAAGACGGAAAGACCCCGUGAACCUUUACUAUAGCUUGACACUGAACAUUGAGCCUUGAUGUGUAGGAUAGGUGGGAGGCUUUGAAGUGUGGACGCCAGUCUGCAUGGAGCCGACCUUGAAAUACCACCCUUUAAUGUUUGAUGUUCUAACGUGGACCCGUGAUCCGGGUUGCGGACAGUGUCUGGUGGGUAGUUUGACUGGGGCGGUCUCCUCCUAAAGAGUAACGGAGGAGCACGAAGGUUGGCUAAUCCUGGUCGGACAUCAGGAGGUUAGUGCAAUGGCAUAAGCCAGCUUGACUGCGAGCGUGACGGCGCGAGCAGGUGCGAAAGCAGGUCAUAGUGAUCCGGUGGUUCUGAAUGGAAGGGCCAUCGCUCAACGGAUAAAAGGUACUCCGGGGAUAACAGGCUGAUACCGCCCAAGAGUUCAUAUCGACGGCGGUGUUUGGCACCUCGAUGUCGGCUCAUCACAUCCUGGGGCUGAAGUAGGUCCCAAGGGUAUGGCUGUUCGCCAUUUAAAGUGGUACGCGAGCUGGGUUUAGAACGUCGUGAGACAGUUCGGUCCCUAUCUGCCGUGGGCGCUGGAGAACUGAGGGGGGCUGCUCCUAGUACGAGAGGACCGGAGUGGACGCAUCACUGGUGUUCGGGUUGUCAUGCCAAUGGCACUGCCCGGUAGCUAAAUGCGGAAGAGAUAAGUGCUGAAAGCAUCUAAGCACGAAACUUGCCCCGAGA